GUACGGGAGGCAGCAGUAAGGAAUUUUGGACAAUGGGGGCAACCCUGAUCCAGCCAUUCCGCGUGAGUGAAGAAGGCCUUCGGGUUGUAAAGCUCUUUCGGCAGGAACGAAACGGUCCUAGCUAAUACCUGGGGCUAAUGACGGUACCUGAAGAAGAAGCACCGGCUAACUACGUGCCAGCAGCCGCGGUAAUACGUAGGGUGCGAGCGUUAAUCGGAAUUACUGGGCGUAAAGCGUGCGCAGGCGGUUUUGUAAGACAGAUGUGAAAUCCCCGGGCUUAACCUGGGAACUGCGUUUGUGACUGCAAGACUUGAGUGCGGCAGAGGGGGGUGGAAUUCCACGUGUAGCAGUGAGACGCGUAGAGAUGUGGAGGAACACCGAUGGCGAAGGCAGCCCCCUGGGUCGACACUGACGCUCAUGCACGAAAGCGUGGGUAGCAAACAGGAUUAGAUACCCCGGUAGG
rnacentral:rRNA from 1 species